rnacentral:rRNA from 1 species
CUUACCAUGCAAGUCGAGCGGAGCGAGGGUGCUUGCACCUUAGCUUAGCGGCGGACGGGUGAGUAAUGCUUAGGAAUCUGCCUAUUAGUGGGGGACAACAUUCCGAAAGGAAUGCUAAUACCGCAUACGCCCUACGGGGGAAAGCAGGGGAUCUUCGGACCUUGCGCUAAUAGAUGAGCCUAAGUCGGAUUAGCUAGUUGGUGGGGUAAAGGCCUACCAAGGCGACGAUCUGUAGCGGGUCUGAGAGGAUGAUCCGCCACACUGGGACUGAGACACGGCCCAGACUCCUACGGGAGGCAGCAGUGGGGAAUAUUGGACAAUGGGCGGAAGCCUGAUCCAGCCAUGCCGCGUGUGUGAAGAAGGCCUUUUGGUUGUAAAGCACUUUAAGCGAGGAGGAGGCUACUUAGAUUAAUACUCUAGGAUAGUGGACGUUACUCGCAGAAUAAGCACCGGCUAACUCUGUGCCAGCAGCCGCGGUAAUACAGAGGGUGCGAGCGUUAAUCGGAUUUACUGGGCGUAAAGCGUGCGUAGGCGGCUUUUUAAGUCGGAUGUGAAAUCCCCGAGCUUAACUUGGGAAUUGCAUUCGAUACUGGGAAGCUAGAGUAUGGGAGAGGAUGGUAGAAUUCCAGGUGUAGCGGUGAAAUGCGUAGAGAUCUGGAGGAAUACCGAUGGCGAAGGCAGCCAUCUGGCCUAAUACUGACGCUGAGGUACGAAAGCAUGGGGAGCAAACAGGAUUAGAUACCCUGGUAGUCCAUGCCGUAAACGAUGUCUACUAGCCGUUGGGGCCUUUGAGGCUUUAGUGGCGCAGCUAACGCGAUAAGUAGACCGCCUGGGGAGUACGGUCGCAAGACUAAAACUCAAAUGAAUUGACGGGGGCCCGCACAAGCGGUGGAGCAUGUGGUUUAAUUCGAUGCAACGCGAAGAACCUUACCUGGUCUUGACAUACAGAGAACUUUCCAGAGAUGGAUUGGUGCCUUCGGGAACUCUGAUACAGUGCUGCAUGGCUGUCGUCAGCUCGUGUCGUGAGAUGUGGGUUAAGUCC